CGAAGGGAACCGGAAAUGCGUCAUAGCGCGCGUCUGUUUGGAUGUGGAAGCCGAGACCUAAAAUUGGGGGUGAUCUCUGAGGAGAUGGAUCGGUACCUGCUGCUGGUGAUCUGGGGGGAAGGAAAAUUCCCGUCGGCGGCCAGUAGGGAGGCAGAACAUGGGCCAGAGGUGUCGUCGGGUGAGGGUACUGAGAAUCAGCCGGACUUCACAGCAGCAAAUGUUUAUCACCUCUUGAAAAGAAGCAUUAGUGCUUCAAUUAAUCCAGAAGAUAGUACUUUCCCUGCCUGUUCAGUGGGUGGUAUACCUGGUUCCAAGAAGUGGUUCUUUGCAGUGCAGGCAAUAUAUGGAUUUUAUCAGUUUUGUAGUUCUGAUUGGCAAGAGAUACAUUUUGAUACAGAAAAAGAUAAAAUUGAAGAUGUUCUUCAAACGAAUAUCGAAGAAUGUUUGGGUGCUGUUGAGUGUUUUGAAGAAGAAGACAGUAAUAGCAGGGAAUCAUUAUCCUUGGCUGAUCUCUAUGAAGAAGCUGCAGAAAAUUUGCAUCAGUUAUCAGACAAGCUUCCUGCUCCUGGUAGAGCAAUGGUAGAUAUAAUACUAUUGCUUUCUGACAAAGAUCCUCCUAAAUUGAAAGACUGUUUACCUACUGUAGGAGCAUUAAAACAUUUGAGAGAAUGGUAUUCAGCAAAGAUCACUAUAGCAGGAAAUCAUUGUGAAAUAAACUGUCAGAAAAUUGCAGAAUACCUUUCUGCUAAUGUUGUAUCUUUAGAAGAUCUCAGAAAUGUUAUUGACUCAAAGGAAUUAUGGAGGGGGAAAAUACAGAUAUGGGAAAGAAAGUUUGGAUUUGAAAUUAGUUUUCCUGAAUUUUGUUUAAAGGGAGUCACACCUAAGAAUUUUAGUACAUCUAAUUUAAAUACUGACUUCCUUGCCAAAAAGAUCAUACCAUCAAAGGAUAAGAAUAUUUUGCCAAAGGUUUUCCAUUAUUAUGGCCCUGCUUUAGAAUUUGUGCAGAUGAUAAAAUUAUCAGAUCUACCCUCCUGCUAUAUGUCGGAUAUUGAAUUUGAGUUAGGAUUGACAAACAGUACCAAACAGAAUUCUGUGUUGCUGUUGGAGCAGAUUUCUUCUCUGUGUAGCAAGGUUGGUGCUCUUUUUGUAUUGCCAUGUACCAUUAGUAACAUACUGAUUCCACCUCCCAACCAACUCAGUUCAAGAAAAUGGAAGGAAUAUAUAGCUAAAAAGCCUAAAACAAUCAGUGUUCCAGAUGUUGAAGUGAAAGGAGAGUGUUCUAGCUAUUAUCUCUUGUUACAAGGUAAUGGCAAUAGAAGAUGUAAAGCCACAUUGAUUCACUCAGCCAACCAGAUCAAUGGCUCAUUUGCACUCAAUUUAAUUCAUGGAAAGAUGAAAACAAAGACAGAAGAAGCCAAAUUGAGCUUUCCUUUUGACUUAUUAUCAUUUCCACAUUUUUCUGGGGAGCAGAUUGUACAGAGAGAGAAACAGUUAGCUAAUGUUCAAGUUUUAGCUUUGAAAGAAUGCCUAAAAAGGAGAAAGUUGGCAAAGCAGCCUGAAACAGUUUCUGUUGCUGAACUCAAAAGUCUGUUAGUACUCACAAGGAAACACUUUUUAGAUUAUUUUGAUGCUUUGAUUCCUAAAAUGAUUCUAAGAAAGAUUGACAAAAUUAAAACCUUCAAUAUAUUAAAUGAUUUUAGUCCAGUGGAACCUAAUUCCUCAAGUCUAAUGGAAACCAAUCCUCUGGAAUGGCCAGAAAGGCAUGUUCUUCAAAAUUUGGAAACUUUUGAAAAAACUAAACAAAAAAUGAGAACUGGUUCAUUACCUCAUUCAUCUGAACAGUUGCUGGGCCACAAAGAGGGUCCUCGGGACUCAAUCACAUUAUUGGAUGCUAAAGAAUUGCUGAAGUACUUUACCUCAGAUGGAUUACCCGUUGGAGAUCUUCAACCUUUACCGAUUCAAAAGGGGGAAAAGACUUUUGUUUUGACACCAGAACUUAGUCCUGGGAAACUUCAGGUCUUACCUUUUGAGAAAGCCUCAGUAUGUCAUUAUCAUGGAAUUGAAUAUUGCUUGGAUGACCGAAAAGCUUUGGAAAGAGAUGGAGGAUUUUCUGAACUUCAGUCUCGUCUUAUUCGUUAUGAAACUCAAACUACCUGCACCAGAGAAAGUUUUCCAGUACCUACUGUGUUGAGCCCUCUUCCAUCUCCUGCAGUUUCGUCAGAGCCUGGAAGUGUCCCUGACGGAGAAGUUUUACAAAAUGAACUUCGAACUGAAGUAUCCCGAUUGAAACGGAGAUCUAAAGAUCUGAAUUGCGUUUAUCCCAGAAAAAGACUUGUGAAAUCUGAAAGUUCAGAGUCUCUUCUUUCUCAGACAACUGGUAAUAGUAAUCACUAUCAUCAUCAUGUGACAUCCAGAAAGCCACAAACAGAGCGGUCCUUACCAGUGACUUGUCCAUUGGUUCCAAUUCCUAGCUGUGAAACUCCAAAACUUGCUACAAAGACCAGUUCAGGUCAAAAAAGUAUGCAUGAAUCAAAAACAUCAAGGCAAAUUAAGGAAUCAAGAUCACAGAAACACACACGGAUACUGAAAGAAGUAGUUACUGAAACCCUGAAGAAACACAGUAUUACUGAGACUCAUGAAUGUUUCACUGCAUGCAGCCAGCGUCUCUUUGAAAUCUCUAAGUUCUAUCUAAAGGAUCUUAAAACUUCAAGGGGUCUAUUUGAAGAAAUGAAGAAAACAGCAAACAACAAUGCUGUACAGGCUGGUCUCGAACUCUUGAACUCCUGGCCUCAAGUGAUCCUCUGACCUUAGCCUCCCAAAGCAUUGGGAUUAUAGUCGUGAGCCACCACAUCCAGCCAGAAGUUUUGGCUCUAACAAUGUUGGAUGAAUAAUUUCAAGAGAUGUUCAGGAAGAGAUUCCUGAGUUUUAUGGAAUAUUAUACAAGGUCAGUGUUUCCAAAGAUGUAGUACCUGGGCCAUGGUGUAUGUGUGGGAUGACUUUAAGUGAUACAAACUUUAAAAAGCUUUAAUUGGUUUAUAUUUAAAAAGUUUUAAUUGGUUUAUAUUCAUUUUUAUAUGUAUAUACAAUGUUGCUAUAUUACUAGCAAAUCAUAUACCUUAAGUUAGUACUGUUGAAAUAAUAGGGUAAAGAAAGCUUUUUACGGCUGGGCGUGGUGGCUCAC